ensembl:snoRNA SNORD114-31 small nucleolar RNA, C/D box 114-31
UGAACCAGUGACGACAGCUGGUGGCAUUUGAGUCGUGGAUGAUGAAUAUGAAGUGUCUGGAACUCUGAGAUUCAA